AAGCUUGAAUCUCAACUAGAGAAAAAAGACCAGCAAUUUAAAGAGCAAGAAAAGACUAUGUCCAUGUUGCAGCAAGACAUAAUAUGCAAACAGCAUCAUCUUGAAUCACUAGACAGACUGUUGACAGAAAGCAAAAGGGAAAUGGAAAAGGAAAAUAUGAAGAAAGAUGAAGCUUUGAAAGCAUUACAGAACCAAGUAUCUGAAGAAACAAUCAAG